rnacentral:rRNA from 1 species
CAGAGGGGGAUAACACUUGGAAACAGGUGCUAAUACCGCAUAACAGUUUAUGCCGCAUGGCAUAAGAGUGAAAGGCGCUUCGGUGUCGCUGAUGGAUGGACCCGCGGUGCAUUAGCUAGUUGGUGAGGUAACGGCUCACCAAGGCCACGAUGCAUAGCCGACCUGAGAGGAUGAUCAGCCACACUGGGACUGAGACACGGCCCAG